rnacentral:rRNA from 1 species
AGUGAACGCUGGCGGUAGGCCUAACACAUGCAAGUCGAACGGCAGCACAGUAAGAGCUUGCUCUUACGGGUGGCGAGUGGCGGACGGGUGAGGAAUACAUCGGAAUCUACUUUUUCGUGGGGGAUAACGUAGGAAAACUUACGCUAAUACCGCAUACGACCUACGGGUGAAAGCAGGGGAUCUUCGGACCUUGCGCGAUUGAAUGAGCCGAUGUCGGAUUAGCUAGUUGGCGGGGUAAAGGCCCACCAAGGCGACGAUCCGUAGCUGGUCUGAGAGGAUGAUCAGCCACACUGGAACUGAGACACGGUCCAGACUCCUACGGGAGGCAGCAGUGGGGAAUAUUGGACAAUGGGCGCAAGCCUGAUCCAGCCAUACCGCGUGGGUGAAGAAGGCCUUCGGGUUGUAAAGCCCUUUUGUUGGGAAAGAAAAGCAGCAGGUUAAUACCCCGCUGUUCUGACGGUACCCAAAGAAUAAGCACCGGCUAACCUCGUG